rnacentral:rRNA from 1 species
CCAAAUUGAUUUUAUGCUUGCAUAAAUGAUUUUUGGAUUCGGAGCGAGUGGCGAACUGGUGAGUAACACGUGGGUAACCUGCCCCGAAGCGGGGGAUAACAUUUGGAAACAAGUGCUAAUACCGCAUAAUUAGUUGGAACCGCAUGGUUCCAACUUGAAAGAUGGCUCUGCUAUCACUUUGGGAUGGACCCGCGCCGUAUUAGUUAGUUGGUGAGAUAAAAGCCCACCAAGACGAUGAUACGUAGCCGACCUGAGAGGGUAAUCGGCCACAUUGGGACUGAGACACGGCCCAGACUCCUACGGGAGGCAGCAGUAGGGAAUCUUCCACAAUGGACGAAAGUCUGAUGGAGCAACGCCGCGUGAGUGAUGAAGGUUUUCGGAUCGUAAAACUCUGUUGUUAAAGAAGAACAAGUGUUAGAGUAACUGUUAACACUUUGACGGUAUUUAACCAGAAAGCCACGGCUAACUACGUGCCAGCAGCCGCGGUAAUACGUAGGUGGCAAGCGUUGUCCGGAUUUAUUGGGCGUAAAGCGAGCGCAGGCGGUUUUGUAAGUCUGCUGUGAAAGCCCUCAGCUCAACUGAGGAAGUGCAGUGGAAACUACAAAACUUGAGUACAGAAGAGGAAAGUGGAACUCCAUGUGUAGCGGUGAAAUGCGUAGAUAUAUGGAAGAACACCAGUGGCGAAGGCGGCUUUCUGGUCUGUUACUGACGCUGAGGCUCGAAAGCAUGGGUAGCGAACAGGAUUAGAUACCCUGGUAGUCCAUGCCGUAAACGAUGAAUACUAGGUGUUGGGAGGGUUUCCGCCCUUCAGUGCCGCAGCUAACGCAUUAAGUAUUCCGCCUGGGGAGUACGACCGCAAGGUUGAAACUCAAAGGAAUUGACGGGGGCCCGCACAAGUGGUGGAGCAUGUGGUUUAAUUCGAUGCUACGCGAAGAACCUUACCAGCUCUUGACAUCUUCUGCCAACCCAAGAGAUUGGGCGUUCCCUUCGGGGACAGAAUGACAGGUGGUGCAUGGUUGUCGUCAGCUCGUGUCGUGAGAUGUUGGGUUAAGUCCCGCAACGAGCGCAACCCUUAUUAUUAGUUGCCAGCAUUUAGUUGGGCACUCUAGUGAGACUGCCGGUGAUAAACCGGAGGAAGGUGGGGACGACGUCAAAUCAUCAUGCCCCUUAUGAGCUGGGCUACACACGUGCUACAAUGGAUGGUACAACGAGUCGCGAAACCGCGAGGUCAAGCUAAUCUCUUAAAGCCAUUCUCAGUUCGGAUUGCAGGCUGCAACUCGCCUGCAUGAAGUUGGAAUCACUAGUAAUCGUGGAUCAGCAUGCCACGGUGAAUACGUUCCCGGGCCUUGUACACACCGCCCGUCACACCAUGAGAGUUUGUAACACCCAAAGACGAUGGG